UGGUGGAGUGAUUUGUCUGGUUAAUUCCGUUAACGAACGAGACCUCAGCCUGCUAAAUAGUUCCGCAAAUUCUGAAUUUGCGUUGUGACUUCUUAGAGGGACUAUUGGCGUUUAGCCAAUGGAAGUUUGAGGCAAUAACA
rnacentral:rRNA from 1 species